GCGGUCGCCGCGGUUUGGGGGGCGGCCGCCACUCGUCCCUUCGGUCGCUGCCGGCGGGGAACGCACCGUGGGCUAUGGUCCAUCCGUGUGGCUCUCGACUUUUCAAGCUGUUUACUGCUGAUAUAUAUGAUGCAUCUGUUACUUCAGGGAUUUAAAUGAUGCAGAACCCCUUAGGAGAUGUAUAUAAGGAACUGAAACUGUUCUUCAUGAGAUUUCUGGCUGCAUCACUGGAAAGGUACUACUGCCAAACCUCCAAACA